rnacentral:rRNA from 1 species
ACGCUCGACACCUACAGGAGGCAGCAGUGGGGAAUAUUGCACAAUGGGGGAAACCCUGAUGCAGCGACGCCGCGUGAGCGAAGAAGUAUCUCGGUAUGUAAAGCUCUAUCAGCAGGGAAGAAGAUGACGGUACCUGACUAAGAAGCACCGGCUAAAUACGUGCCAACAGCCGCGGUAAUCUGAGCGGGCUGGCAAGGC